GGGGAGUGAGAAGGGGACAUUGGGAUCGUGCGGGCAAGGGGAGCGAGCAGAGAGAGGGGGAGCUCAAGCAGGCGCGGGUUUCUGCGUUAGCGGCGGCGGGGUAGCAAUGUUACCGGUGGCUCAAGGGGCGCCCGACUGUGGAACGGUCCUCUGCGCGGCCCGAGGAGAUGAAGCUGAUGUUGGUGAUCAAGCUCGGCCCCGCAGCAGUUAGCAGCCCUAGCUCGGAAGAAGGGGUAGCAGGUGGCGUACGGAGAGCGGCAGCACGGCGGGGAGGCCAAGCGGGGGCUGGAGGCGCUCGAGUGGUAAUUGAGGCCCUGCAACCUCAGGUCCUCGGUCUGCGGUAGCAACUACUGCUGAUGAUGAUGAGCCCUCCACGGAUGAUGAUGCACGUCGGGCGACUGCCACUGGUCCUCAUCAAAUCCACCUAGGGUCCAUCCUCCGUACGCGGAGAAAGCUAGACAUAGGGUCAAACACGAUCGGAAGAAUUUCGUUUGAACAAAUUGAAUACAGACAUGAUUCUAUAACAACGAAGGCGACUGAGCAGAUACUAGCUCGAGAACAUAAGCUCGGGAGCUCCGGGAACCGAACAUUAUACUACGAACAUACUGAAUAAAAUAAACAUCUCAACACAACACUAUAGAAGAGCAUUCAGG
rnacentral:rRNA from 1 species